GAAAUUGAUUAUCAAUGUGGUUUAAUCUAUAGAGCUGCAGUUAUCAACUCGAAAAGUUUAAAGAAAUAUAUUUACAUUGUAAGAAUUAACCUGAUUUGGUCAUCAGUCAAAUGCAUACUGAUUAAAUAAAAUAAUGUAGAAUAUUUCUGUAAAUAGUAUAAACACUAUAAGCUUAAAUACUUUAACUAAAAAACAUUAAUUUUGUUAUUUAUCAGCAUCAAAAUGAAUUUUUCAAUGUUUAUUCUUCUUGGAGCAAUUAUGAUGUUUGUGUCAAUACAAGUAGAAGCAGCAGAUAAUACUACCACUGAAGAAGCGACAACAGCAGGAGAAGAAUAUUGCAUACAAUGUUUCGCAUAUUAUUCCAAAGAAUACUGUGCGUCUAUUGGCAGGGGUCAAGUAGAAGCAACAUGUCAUUCCUGCUCAACAUGUAUUGAAUCCGACUAAUACUUAUCUACAGCCACUAAUAAUCAACAUAUUCAUAUUACAUAGUAGUAAAUUACAAUUGGAAGGCGAUUUGAUUUGUGAUACUAUGUUUACAAUUUAUGUUUUACUUUAAAUAAAUAAAUAAAUAAAUCAAAAUUAAUUUAA